rnacentral:rRNA from 1 species
GAGUGGCGCACGGGUGCGUAACACGUGGGAAUAUACACACAGGUAAGGAAUAACGUAGAGAAAUUUGCGCUAAUACCUUAUAAUGACUCCGGUCCAAAGAUUUAUCGCCUGUGGAUUAGCCCGCGCUAGAUUAGGUUGUUGGUGAGGUAAUGGCUCACCAAGCCUACGAUCUAUAGCUGGUCUGAGAGGAUGAUCAGCCACACUGGAACUGAGACACGGUCCAGACUCCUACGGGAGGCAGCAGUGAGGAAUAUUGCGCAAUGGAGGAAACUCUGACGCAGCCAUGCCGCGUGAGUGAAGAAGGCCCUAGGGUUGUAAAGCUCUUUCAGAUACGAAUAUAAUGAAGGUACUAUCAGAAGAAGCUCCGGCUAAAUUCGUGCCAGCAGCCGCGGUAAUACGAAUGGAGCGAGCGUUGUUCGGAAUCACUGGGCGUAAAGCGUAUGUAGGCGGACUUGAAAGUCAGAAGUGAAAUCCCAGGGCUCAACCCCGGAAUUGCUUUUGAAACUCCAAGUCUCGAGUCCCGGAGGGGUCAGCAGAAUUCCUAGUGUAGAGGUGAAAUUCGCAGAUAUUAGGAGGAAUACCAGUGGCGUAGGCGGCUGGCUGGACGGGUACUGACGCUGAGAUACGAAAGCGUGGGGAGCAAACAGGAUUAGAUACCCUGGUAGUCCACGCCGUAAACGAUGUGUGCUAGUUGUCGGGUCCUUAGGAUUCGGUGACGCAGCUAACGCACUAAGCACACCGCCUGGGGAGUACGGUCGCAAGAUUAAAACUCAAAGGAAUUGACGGGGACCCGCACAAGCGGUGUCGUGAGAUGUUUGGUUAAGUCCAGCAACGAGCGCAACCCCUAUCGUAUGUUGCCAGCAUUUAGUUGGGCAUUCAUGCGAGACUGCCGGUGUUAAGCCGGAGGAAGGUGGGGACGACGUCAAGUCAUCAUGGCCCUUACGUGUGGGGCUACAAACGUGCUACAAUGGGAGUGACAGUGGGCAGCAAGGUCGCGAGGCCAAGCUAAUCCCUAAAAGCUCUCUCAGUUCGGAUAGGACUCUGCAACUCGAGUCCUUGAAGUCGGAAUCGCUAGUAAUCGUGGAUCAGCAUGCCACGGUGAAUACGUUCCCGGGUCUUGUACGCACCGCCCGUCACACCAUGGGAGUUGGUUUUACCCGAAGACGGUGCGCUAACUUUGGAGGCAGCCGGCCACGGUAGGGUCAGCGACUGGGGUGAAGUCGUAACAAGGUAGCCGUAGGGGAACCUGCGGCUGGAUCACCUCCUUUCU